CCUUUCAAGACUCCAUUCUUGUCUCCAAUUACCAGGUUGGAUUAUGAUGAUAGGAAAUGGCCAAGAUUGAUGAUCACCGUGGAUUGGAGUGACAGAUGAUUGAAGAUCCUGAAGACCCAAUCUUGCUCCACAUUCUCUGCGACCUUCCACACCUGGAGCUGGAGAAGCUGUUGAGGAACAACUUGAGGGAAUUUCUUUUGGCCCUGGAUCUCCUCCAGAUUGUUUGAAGGGACAAACAUGACAGAUGUGUGAGUGCUGGCAGUU